CGCUGGCGGCGUGCCUAAUACAUGCAAGUCGAACGGUCUUUUCUAUGGAAGCUUGCUUCCACUGAGAAGAUAGUGGCGAACGGGUGAGUAACACGUGGGUAACCUGCCCAUAAGAGGGGGAUAACAUCCGGAAACGGGUGCUAAUACCGCAUAGUUUUCUUGAUCGCAUGAUCGGGAAAGGAAAGACGGCCUUUGUGCUGUCGCUUAUGGAUGGACCCGCGGCGUAUUAGUUAGUUGGUGAGGUAACGGCUCACCAAGACGAUGAUACGUAGCCGACCUGAGAGGGUGAUCGGCCACAUUGGGACUGAGACACGGCCCAAACUCCUACGGGAGGCAGCAGUAGGGAAUCUUCCGCAAUGGACGAAAGUCUGACGGAGCAACGCCGCGUGAGUGAAAGAAGGUUUUCGGAUCGUAAAACUCUGUUGUCAGAGAAGAACAAGUUGGAGAGUAACUGCUCCAGCCUUGACGGUAUCUGACCAGAAAGCCACGGCUAACUACGUGCCAGCCGCGGC
rnacentral:rRNA from 1 species